UGGAGGAUGGAAUGAAUGGUUUGACGCGAAAAUUACUGUCUCUAAAAUAUAACCUUAAAUUUAAUUUUUAAGUGAAAAAGCUUAAAUAUUCUUAAAAGACAAGAAGACCCUGUCGAAUUUGAAGAUUCAUUACAAUUUUUUUAAAAAAUCUUUUAGUUGGGGCAACUAAAAAGGAAAUAAAUCCUUUUUUUCUUUCAAUUUUGGAAAAAAAAAAUCCAGUACUUCUGAAAAAUGAAUAAAUUACCGCAGGGAUAACAGCAUAAUUUUUUAUUAGAGUUCUUAUUUAAUAAAAAGAUUGUGACCUCGAUGUUGGACUAGGGUAUCUUUUAUGUGCAGUAGCAUAACAAGUUARACUGUUCGUCUAUWAAAAUCCUACAU
rnacentral:rRNA from 1 species